UGGGGAAUAUUGGGCAAUGGGGGCAACCCUGACCCAGCGACGCCGCGUGAGGGAAGACGGCCUUCGGGUUGUAAACCUCUUUUGUACGGGAAGAAGGACGUGACGGUACCGUGCGAAUAAGUCCCGGCUAACUACGUGCCAGCAGCCGCGGUAAUACGUAGGGGACGAGCGUUGUCCGGAAUUACUGGGCGUAAAGGGCGCGCAGGCUGUAGAUCAAGUCAGCUGUGAAAUGUCUGGGCUUAACCCGGGCAUGCGGUUGAAACUGAUGUACUGGAGUGCUGUAGAGGCAAGUGGAAUUCCCAGUGUAGCGGUGAAAUGCGUAGAUAUUGGGAAGAACACCGGUGGCGAAGGCGACUUGCUGGGCAGCAACUGACGCUGAGGCGCGAAAGCCAGGGGAGCA
rnacentral:rRNA from 1 species